UACGUAGGUGGCAAGCGUUGUCGGGAAUUAUUGGGCGUAAAGAGCAUGUAGGCGGUCCUUUAAGUCUGGAGUGAAAAUGCGGGCUCAACCCCGUAUGGCUUUGGAUACUGGGGGACUUGAGUGCAGGAGAGGAAAGGGGAAUCCCAGUGUAGCGGUGAAAUGCGUAGAUAUUGGGAGGAACACCAGUGGCGAAGGCGCCUUUGGACUGUGUCUGACGCUGAGAUGCGAAAGCCAGGGUAGCGAACGGGAUUAGAUACCCCGUAGUCCUGGCCGUAAACGAUGGGUACUAGGUGUAGGAGGUAUCGACCCCUCCUGUGCCGGGUUAACGCAAUAAGUACCCCGCCUGGGGAGUACGUCGGCAACGAUGAAACUCAAAGGAAUGACGGGGGCCCGCACAAGCGGUGGAGUAUGUGGUUUAAUUCGACGCAACGCGAAGAACCUACCAAGGCUUGACAUUGAUUGACCGCUCUAGAGAUAGAGCUUUCCCUUCGGGGACUUGAAACAGGUGGUGCAUGGCUGUCGUCAGCUCGUGUCGUGAGAUGUUGGGUUAAGUCCCGCAACAGCGCAACCCCUAUCCUAUGUUACCAGCGAGUAAAGUCGGGGACUCAUGGGAGACUGCCAGGACAACUUGGAGGAAGGCGGGGAUGACGUCAAGUCAUCAUGCCCCUUAUGUCUUGGGCUCACACGUACUACAAUGGUCGGCAACAGAGGGAAGCGAAGCCGCGAGGCAGAGCAAACCCCGAAACCCGAUCUCAGUUCGGAUUGCAGGCUGCAACUCGCCUGCAUGAAGUCGGAAUCGCUGUAAUCGCAGGUCAGCAUACUGCGGUGAAUACGUUCCCGGGCCUUGCACACACCGCCCG
rnacentral:rRNA from 1 species